rnacentral:rRNA from 1 species
AGAAUCAACGCUGGCGGCGUGCCUAACACAUGCAAGUCGCACGAGAAAGGGGCUUCGGCCCUGAGUAAAGUGGCGCACGGGUGAGUAACACGUGAAUCAUCUACCUUCGAGUGGGGAAUAACUGGGAGAAAUCUCAGCUAAUACCGCAUAAUACCUACGGGUCAAAGCAGCAAUGCGCUUGAAGAGGAGUUCGCGGCAGAUUAGUUAGUUGGCGGGGUAAUGGCCCACCAAGACGAUGAUCUGUA